rnacentral:rRNA from 1 species
CCUACGGGAGGCUGCAGUGAGGAAUAUUGGUCAAUGGCCGGAAGGCUGAACCAGCCAUGCCGCGUGAAGGUCAGUGCCCUAUGGGCGUUAAACUUCUUUUGUGCGGGAGCAAUAAUGGUCACGUGUGGCCAGACGAGAGUACCGUACGAAUAAGCAUCGGCUAACUCCGUGCCAGCAGCCGCGGUAAUACGGGGGAUGCAAGCGUUAUCCGGAUUUAUUGGGUUUAAAGGGUGCGUAGGCUGUGAGGUAAGUCAGCGGUGAAAUGCCCCCGCUCAACGGGGUGAAGUGCCAUUGAUACUGCCUGGCUGGAAUGCGGAUGCCGUGGGAGGAAUGUGUGGUGUAGCGGUGAAAUGCAUAGAUAUCACACAGAACACCGAUUGCGAAGGCAUCUCACGAAGCCGCGAUUGACGCUGAUGCACGAAAGCGUGGGUAUCAAACAGGAUUAGAUACCCUAGUAGUC